rnacentral:lncRNA from 1 species
GGAAAGAAAUAAGAAAAGACACAACAAGAAAAUGUCUGGUAAUGUGAAAAUCCAUCAGAUCUGUGCUCUCCUGGUUGGUUUCUUCCAACCUCAGCACAUCCAAAUGGAACCCCAUUGGAGGUGUGAGCUCUCAUAAUUCUUCAAGAUUAUUACUUCUGGUAUUUGAGGUACAGCAAAGCACUACAAUAUCAUGUCAGCCCCCAAUUCUCAGAGAUAUGAUUUAUAGCCAAGUUAGACCAGGUAUUGUAUCCAACUUUUCGUUCCAUAUGUAUCAUCCUAUCUAUUUCUCAAACUUAUGUAGCUUAUGUAAAUAUGCCAUGAGACCCUUAAUUCCGACCAUAAGUUGAGAAAAUUGUGUUUUGCUACUAUCAAUCAUGAUUUCUUUCCCUUUCUAGAUCCCGAUGGGUUGAGUCUCAAGAGACUAAUACCACCAUCUGAGAUAAAAGAUUGGGUGAGAAAGUCACAACUUUUAGUAGCUGAAAAUCAUGUGAACUUUUGCAGAUUACAAAGAAAAAUUGGAGUCAUCAGCUUACCUUCCAUCAAAACUAAUGUCCUGAUUUGGUAUUAGGCGAACACCUCAAUGCUCUCACCAGAUGCAAAUACUCAAACCAUUACGAAAUUACUUCAGACAAUAGUUAACGAAUUUAGAUACUAACAACCAAUUCCCUUUUAUUUCUACCAGAACUUGUAAUCUUCAUAAAUAUGUUAUCAGUGUAUUGAUUUAAUCUACUAGUCUUCUUCUAAUGUGAGGAGUGCCACUCUUGUCCAAGUUUAGAAUUCUCUGCCCUUCCAUAGGAAUGUCUUGGAAAUGGCUAAAUUGAUAAUUACCUGCAAGAUCAAAAACUAGGUUAGCAAAAUAAUCAUCUAGAGUAUUUCCUUCUCGAAAGAUAUGUUGUACUCUCGCUGAUAAUGAUCUCCUCAAAUAGCUUAUGGAAUUGACCUCUAGUGUCACACUCUAAGGGACAUCCCACCUCCCUUCCAAGAUCUGUACCAUGGCCAUAGAAUCAGUUUCAAUAAUGACAUGUGAUAAAUGAUGCUCCUUACAAAAAAACAAUCCUUCUCUAAUAGCUCUAGCUUCAGCUACCAAAUUAGAGGUAUCUUGUAUCUUGAAUCCUUUAGCCACCAUCAAUGAGCCAGAGUAAUCUCUUAUUCAAAAGGCCGCAGAGCUAGGUCCUGGAUUACCCCUAGAUGCACCAUCUGUAUUGCAUUUCACCCAAUUAGUAGGGAGAGGGAUCCAUCUCACAAUGUUAAUGCUAUAGUUAUUUCUAUGCCCCUGUAAAUUAGUAAUGAUAUCCGGCCAACUGUUCCUUCCUAUAUCUCUUUCGAACCUUAUUUUAAUCACCUUCAGAAUAUUGUCAUUAAUCUCCCAAAUGACCUUUCUUUCUGAGAAUGAGCCACCAUGUAAAAUAGUGUUCCUUCUCCUCCACAAACACCACAAAAUGACAAUGGGUGAUUAUCUUCUAAAUUGGAUAUCAUAAUCCAUAAAUAUUAAUUUGUACAAUAAUUUUAUAAAUAAUUAAUAAAAUAUAAAAUUUACUAAGCAUCAAUUUUUAUACUAAUUUUUAUAGUCAUUAUACACAUUACAUAUAAAACAUGUUUAUAUAUAACUGAUAUAAAAAGAUUAAGUAAACCAAUUUGUAUAUUUAUUCCAUACAUAUUAUUUAUAUAUAUCCAUUCUAUAUACAUAUAUAGUUUCCGAUUAUAUAUUGUUUACGCUCCAAACGUGAACAUACCAUAUUAUAUAUCAAUUCCAUAUAAUGCAUAAUUAAAAAAAUCUCUGAUACCUAUUUUAAGACCAAAUGAAUAUGUUAAGAACUCAACAUAAAUAUCAAUUAGUGUAUUUAACGGGUAUAUAAAUUGGUUAACAAUGGUAGAUUAAGCUAAAACAUGAAAAUCAAAUUUAAUACAGUUUUCAUAUAUUAAUAAAAUUUUACUAACAUACAAAUUUGUUGGGCAUCAUUUUUCAUACAUAAUUAGAUACAAUUGGUGGCCUUCAUCUUCACUGAUGCAGAUCUCUCUCAAGUCUCCAACAAGGGUUCAUGAAAAAAUCAAGAAUGACUUGAAGAAGGAAAAAAAUAUUGAAAUAUAGUUAAAGAAUCACUAGUUGAAACUAACUCACAAUUAGUAUUGCUACAAUGGAGAGAAGAUUCACAUGAAUUUCAUCAUGGUUGUGAAUUUUUUUUAAAAAAAAUUAAGGAGAGAUGUUUGAAAUUUCAAGUACUAUUACGAAUUAUUACCUUUUAUGGAGGC